GAUUGUCCUUGAGAUAUUUUUAUCCUAAUUGCCACAUUAACCUCAUACUUAACAUAGAAGGGUAUACAAUAGAGAAUGAUAUAUAAGAAGAAUUUGAUUAAUUAAAUUCGUUAUCCAAAUAUAGAAGCCAUCAAUAUGGUUGACGACGUGACGAGGUCAAACGGAAUCUACUAAUUUGAAGAGCUAAUGUUACUUACUAUAAUCAUCGUCCAUCGACGUGAAAGAUCUCUAUUACCGGUUGAAUUCCCCAAAAUCAGCAUUUAGAUCAAAUGGUUCUCGACUAAUACGUUCAAAAGUAGUAGUAGGAUUAGUAGUAGUAGUUGGUAAUGUUGGUGGGUUAUGUGUUACACGAGUAAAGCCUCCACUAAAUUAUAGUAAUUAAACUUUAUGAUUCUUAUAAAUGUAUGCAAUAUUAGGAAUUUAUACCAUAGUUGGUGAAGUGACCCUUGUGAACUUUGGCCCGUGUUUUGCAUAUAAAGGUAAAAUGGUUAGCGUGGAAAUGCAAGAAAUGAUAUACGCGUAAAAAAAGAAGAUUCAUUUAAGAAAGUUCAUACUUACAGAUGUUACCCAACAUUGCUUAAAUGGUCUGUAAAAGUCCUCCACUGUUAAACAUCUAAGUUCACAUAAUGACCACACUAUGUUGUUCAACGGUUAAUAUUCUCCGACUUACAAAUGGUUAAAUGUUAAGUGUGGGGUUAAAAAAGCUUGGUAUAUGACAUUUUCAUUAUUAGCAAAGGCCCAGAUUUGCACCUGCGUUUGCGGUUGAGUUUGAGCAUGAACAUAGCCAUGGGCAGCAAUGAUAAUGGCCUGAGCAAUAUGGAUACGUCGUCUUGGCAUCUCAAGCGGACCCCUUUUAGUACCUGAUCAGCUUGUUGGUCGUCCAAUCAUAUUUAGAUGAUCAAAGGAAGUGGGAUGGUCAACAAGUCUUUUUUUUACUUAUUGCUGCUUUACUUCACUUAAUUUGUUACUUACCAUAUACGUCACAGGAUGGCGAUAAUCUGGGACAUCAAGCAUGAGAAAAACAUGGUUAUUAUGAAUUAUAUCUUUAUUUUUGGUUAUUCAGCAUGGGAUCAUGACAUAGAUACAGGUUUGUGAAUGUGGUGUUACAAGAGUAGCUCCUUUGGAGGAUGCUCGCCACUUGGCACGCAGUUGUGACCGACUCUGACAAGAAGUUGAGACACAGACUGCAGUUUGUGUUCUUGUCAUAUGGAAAGAACGUUUAUGGACGCACUGCUGCAGUUUUGGCUAGAAAUAAGCAGGAGGUAUUCUUACAUUCUAUGUCGUGUCAGCAAGACUCAAGAGUUGUUAUAUCUGUAACAUUGCUAAUGAGAAAGAAAUGUGCAAUGGAGUUAAUGGGUAAAAGGGUUGGUUUACUCGAGCUGAAAAGUAACAGAAUAUUGUUGAACAGGAAGUGAUGUGCUUUGAAGAGAAUAAUUUGCACUAGUAAUUCCAUCAUGCGUGGCAUCCUCAGAGAAGGUGUUAUCGAUUGUUUGGAUCUUAUCGGGACAAUGCGAGUAUUGCUUCCCAGGUUCUUCGCUACGUAUUGACAUGGCGAUUUGGUGAUGGAGUGGAAGAUAAAACACUCUGUCACUUGUUUUUUGAUUGUCCAUUUGCAAAACAGGUUUGGACACAAGAUGAAAUGUUUAGCAAAAAUAAUAGAUGGAGUGUCAGAGAUAUGGCAUCUGAUGCGGGUUAAUACGUAUACCAUGUUAUAUGAUUUGGACAUUUUAUCAAAUGUCCAAAACCUUAAUUUGUUCAAACUAUAUGUACUAGAUUUAGUCUCAUGUUAAAUAUGCAGGUUGUUUAUGACAUAUUUUAAAUAGAAUAUGUGGUCUAUCUUAUAGUAUAAAGAUAAGAUAAG